rnacentral:snRNA from 1 species
GAGUUAAUACAGCUCUUUUAGAAUUUUAUUUAGCAGGUUUUCUGAUUUGGUCAGAAAAUCCAA